GAGUCUGAUCCUGGCUCAGGACGAACGCUGGCGGCGCGCCUAAUGCAUGCAAGUCGAACGAGCGGACCCCUUCGGGGGCGAGUUAGUGGCAGACGGCUGAGUAACGCGUAAGCAACCUACCCACUGGCGGGGGACAACCCGGAAAAAUCCGAGCUAAUACCGCAUGUGGUUGCCUGCCGAUAGCGGGUAACCAAAGGCUUCGGCCACCAGUGGAUGGGCUUGCGUCCCAUCAGGUAGUUGGUGAGGUAACGGCCCACCAAGCCAUCGACGGGUAGCCGGUGUGAGAGCACGACCGGCCAGAGGGGGACUGAGACACGGCCCCCACUCCUACGGGAGGCAGCAGCAGGGAAUCUUGCGCAAUGGGCGAAAGCCUGACGCAGCGACGCCGCGUGAGGGAAGAAGGCCUGCGGGUCGUAAACCUCUUUUCUCGGGGAAGAUAAUGACGGUACCCGAGGAAUAAGCCUCGGCUAACUACGUGCCAGCAGCCGCGGUAAUACGUAGGAGGCUAGCGUUGUCCGGAUUCAUUGGGCGUAAAGGGAGCGCAGGUGGCUGAGUUAGUCCGUGGUGCAAUCUCCAGGCUCAACUUGGAGAGGUCUACGGAUACUGCUUAGCUUGAGGACGGUAGAGGAGCACGGAAUUCCUGGUGUAGUGGUGAAAUGCGUAGAUAUCAGGAGGAACACCCGUGGCGAAAGCGGUGCUUUGGGCCGAUCCUGACACUCAGGCUCGAAAGCGUGGGGAGCAAACCGGAUUAGAUACCCUGGUAGUC
rnacentral:rRNA from 1 species